rnacentral:sRNA from 1 species
GUGGUUGCUCCAGCCGGCCCGGGGCGGUGGCCGCAAGUUGGGCUUACAGCGCGGCCGAUCCGGCGUGGACCCGGGAUGGCUGGACCGGGCAGCACGGGGGGGCAGAUCGGGGCUGCGGCCCUGGCAGGCGGCGCGCGGUCCAAGGUAGCCCCGAGCGUGGACUUCGACCAUAGCUGCUCGGACAGUGUCGAGUACCUGACGCUCAACUUCGGGCCCUUCGAAACAGUGCAUCGCUGGCGGCGCCUCCCGCCCUGCGACGAGUUCGUGGGUGCCCGGCGCAGCAAGCACACAGUGGUGGCCUAUAAAGAUGCCAUUUAUGUAUUUGGUGGAGACAAUGGGAAGACCAUGCUCAAUGACCUCCUGCGGUUCGAUGUGAAAGACUGCUCCUGGUGCAGGUGGGUGGCCCCGUGCU